UGGACAGGAAGACCAUAUUCUGUGUGUCUACUCAUCUGUUGACGGACAUUUGAGUUGCUCCCUCUCCUCUGCUGCGGUGAAUAAUACAGAGGAGGUCAUGGCGGCUGUGCCCACAUCCUGGCUGCUGUGAAUAACGCUGCCACUGACAGGAACUUGAGAGCGCAGGCACUUCACUGAGGGUCUGGUUGCCAGUUUGAGUAAGCCCAGAAGUGGGGCUGCUGGAUUCCCAGAGCUUCACAACUGCUUCUCUCAACUACUGUUUUCCACAUCCAGACUUUGGCUGAUCAGCUCUGCCCUCAGCCCUGACCUGCAACUUGCCUGUAGGCCUGCCUGGGGCCGGUUCACUAGUCAGGGGUUCUCCUGUUGCUGCCCUCACCUGGCUAGGGUCCCAGAGCUGGUCACUCUGUGUACCAUGCACACACUUCUGCCAAGCAUCCAGGACAUGUUGAUGCUACGGCACAGACUUGUCCAGAAGCUCAGAUGUUUCUUGCUUUGACAAAUGCCCACCCAGAAGGCAGAGCCCAGAACAAAAACACCAAAAUGAAAAGCAGUGCCUA